rnacentral:rRNA from 1 species
UACGUAGGGUGCAAGCGUUGUCCGGAAUUAUUGGGCGUAAAGAGCUCGUAGGCGGUUUGUUGCGUCGGCUGUGAAAUCCCGAGGCUCAACCUCGGGUCUGCAGUCGAUACGAGCAAACUAGAGUGUUGCAGGGGAGACUGGAAUUCCUGGUGUAGCGGUGAAAUGCGCAGAUAUCAGGAGGAACACCGGUGGCGAAGGCGGGUCUCUGGGCAACAACUGAUCGUGGAGGAGCGAAAGCGUGGGGAGCGAACAGG